rnacentral:rRNA from 1 species
GGCGUGGCGAAAGGCUCAGUAACACGUCGUCAAUCUGCCCUGUGGAGGGGGAUAACCUCGGGAAACUGAGACUAAUCCCCCAUAGGUAUGGAUACCUGGAAUGGGCCAAUACCGAAAGGAGUCUAUGACUCCACCACAGGAUGAGGCAGCGGCCGAUUAGCUAGUAAGUGAUGUAACGGAUCACUUAGGCAAUGAUCGGUAGGGGCUAUGAGAGUAGGCGCCCCGAGAGGGACACUGAGACACUGGUCCCAGUGCUACGGCACGCAGCAGUCGGGAAUCGUGUCCAAUGCGCGAAAGCGUGAGACCGCGAGCCCGAGUGCUAGGGAAACCCCUAGCUGUGAUGGAGUGUGCAAAGCUCCAACAGCAAGCAGAGGGCAAGGCUGGUGCCACCGCCGCGGUAAAACCAGCUCUGCGAGUGCCUAAGACGAUUAUUGGGCUUAAAGCAUCCGUACCGGUCCGGUAGGUCCUUGAUCAAAUCUGCAAGCUCAACUUGUAGCUGUCAAGGAUACCGCCGGACUAGGGAAUAGGAAAGGGCGACGGUACUGCGGGGGAAGCGGUGAAAUGCGUUGAUCCCCGCAGGACCCACAGUGGCGAAGGCGGUCGCCUAAAAUAUCUCCGACGGUGAUGGAUGAAAGCCAGGGGAGCGAAAGGGAUUAGAGACCCCUGUAGUCCUGGCUGUAAACGAUGAGGACUAGGUGUUGGUCAUGGCCAAGGGCCUGGUCAGUGCCGAAGGGAAACUAUUAAGUCCUCCGCCUGGGGAGUACGGUCGCAAGGCUGAAACUUAAAUGAAUUGACGGGAAACGCCACAAGGGAUGGAAUGUGUGGCUUAAUUCGACUCAACGCGAGGAAACUCACCUGGAGCGACUGACAAAUGUGAGUCAGGCUGAAGACCUUACUCGAAUAAGUCAGAGAGGUAGUGCAUGGCCGUCUCAAGCUCGUGCCGUGAGGUGUGCUCUUAAGUGAGUAAACGAGCGAGACCCGCGCCCCUAUUUGCUAAGAGCGAGCUACGGCUCGGCUGAGGACAAUAGGGGGAUCGCCACCGACUAAGGUGGAUGAAAGUGCGGGCCACGGCAGGUCAGUAUGUUCCGAAUCUCCAGGGCUGCACACGCAUUACAAUGGACGGGACAAUGAGAUGCGACCCCGAAAGGGGAAGCGGACCUCCAAACCCGUCCGUAGUAGGGAUCGAGGUCUGCAACCGACCUCGUGAACGCGGAACCCCUAGUAUCCGCGUGUCAACAUCGCGCGGAGAAUGCGUCCACGCUUUUUGUACACACCGCCCGUC